GCAGUUUCUUCUUAGCCUAAGAAAUUGACUUCUGGGGAUGUUUUUCAGCCAAAUUGGUGAGCACUCCCUCACACCACUCACAGUUCCAUCUAUAUCAUCAGGAUCUCUCCCUCCUUCUACAGCAUCAUCAGCUGCCAAAUGAAAUGUUCCCCGAACACAUCCACUCAACAUUGUGCAUCCCUGGGAUACUUCACUGGACUUCACUCCACACCCACUAGUUCCUUUUCUGCCUUCCUAAUAAUGAAGGAACAAGGGAAAA